rnacentral:rRNA from 1 species
UUGAAAGGGAAACGAUUGAAGUCAGUCGUACCUGUGGGUAAUCAGCCUUUUGGGGGUGAUUUUGUGGAGUGUGAGGAGUUAAACGCCUUCAUGCCUGCAUAUUCGUGCACUUUGGGUGUAUUUACCCGUGUGGCAAGUUAACAUCAAUUUCGGUGGUCAUAAAAUGGCUGGAGGAAUGUAGCUUUGAUCUCGUAUUGAAGUGUUAUAGCCUUCGGUAGAUGUGAUAAUCGGGAUUGAGGAUUGCAACGGAUACCCUUCGGGGCUACCUGUCUGAUCUCUGAUCGUUGCUCUGGUGCCGAAAGCUUGCUUACGGUUAUCAAAGUCGAUGGUCAAUAGGUUAGAAUGGGUUAAAUUCGUUAAGGAUGUUGACGUA